AUUGAACGCUGGCGGCAGGCCUAACACAUGCAAGUCGAGCGGAUGACGGGAGCUUGCUCCUUGAUUCAGCGGCGGACGGGUGAGUAAUGCCUAGGAAUCUGCCUGGUAGUGGGGGACAACGUUUCGAAAGGAACGCUAAUACCGCAUACGUCCUACGGGAGAAAGCAGGGGCCCUUCGGGCCUGGCGCUAUCAGAUGAGCCUAGGUCGGAUUAGCUAGUAGGUGAGGUAAUGGCUCACCUAGGCGACGAUCCGUAACUGGUCUGAGAGGAUGAUCAGUCACACUGGAACUGAGACACGGUCCAGACUCCUACGGGAGGCAGCAGUGGGGAAUAUUGGACAAUGGGCGAAAGCCUGAUCCAGCCAUGCCGCGUGUGUGAAGAAGGUCUUCGGAUUGUAAAGCACUUUAAGUUGGGAGGAAGGGUUGUACGUUAAUACCGUGCAAUUUUGACGUUACCGACAGAAUAAGCACCGGCUAACUCUGUGCCAGCCGCCGCCGUAA
rnacentral:rRNA from 1 species